rnacentral:sRNA from 1 species
CCCUCCAGAUGCUGCUCUCUUGACCUCACCCCCAGCCCCUGCUCCCCCGGUGACCCCUAGCAAACCAAUGGCCGGCACCACAGACCGAGAAGAAGCCACUCGGCUCUUGGCUGAGAAGCGGCGCCAGGCCCGGGAGCAGCGGGAGCGCGAGGAACAGGAGCGGAGGCUGCAGGCAGAAAGGGACAAGUGAGUGCGCCUUGGGGACUGAGGGGGCCCUCGUGGGCGCUGGAGAAGAAGCAGAGGCCGAGCCUGAGCCGUUUGCUCCGUCCCCCAGGCGAAUGCGAGAGGAGCAGCUGGCACGGGAGGCCGAGGCCCGGGCGGAGCGGGAGGCGGAGGCCCGGAGGCGGGAGGAGCAGGAGGCACGAGAGAAGGCGCAGGCCGAGCAGGAGGAGCAGGAGCGGCUGCAGAAGCAGGUGCCCCCGGCGGGCGGGCGGGAAGCGGCUGGACGCGGGCGCCGCAGGCCGGGAGGGAAGGCUGGAGUCAGGUGCCCCACGCUCAUGGAGGUCUUUGGCAGAAAGAGGAGGCCGAAGCUCGGUCACGGGAAGAGGCGGAGCGGCAGCGUCUGGAGCGGGAAAAGCACUUCCAGCAGCAGGAGCAGGAGCGGCAAGAGCGCAGAAAGCGUCUGGAGGAGAUCAUGAAGAGGACUCGGAAGUCAGAAGUUUCUGAAACCAAGAAGCAGGACAGCAAGGAGGCCAACGCCAACGGUUCCAGCCCAGAGCCUGUGAAAGCUGUGGAGGCUCGGUCCCCAGGGCUGCAGAAGGAGGCUGUGCAGAAA